rnacentral:rRNA from 1 species
UGGGGAAUAUUGCACAAUGGGCGCAACCUGAUGCAGCCAUGCCGCGUGUGUGAAGAAGGCCUUCGGGUUGUAAAGCACUUUCAGCGAGGAGGAAGGUGGUGAACUUAAUACGUUCAUCAAUUGACGUUACUCGCAGAAGAAGCACCGGCUAACUCCGUGCCAGCAGCCGCGGUAAUACGGAGGGUGCAAGCGUUAAUCGGAAUUACUGGGCGUAAAGCGCACGCAGGCGGUUUGUUAAGUCAGAUGUGAAAUCCCCGGGCUCAACCUGGGAACUGCAUUUGAAACUGGCAAGCUAGAGUCUCGUAGAGGGGGGUAGAAUUCCAGGUGUAGCGGUGAAAUGCGUAGAGAUCUGGAGGAAUACCGGUGGCGAAGGCGGCCCCCUGGACGAAGACUGC